GCAUUGGUGCUUCAGUGGUAGAAUUCUCGCCUGCCACGCGGGAGACCUGGGUCCGAUUCCCGGCCAAUGCA
rnacentral:tRNA from 1 species